rnacentral:rRNA from 1 species
CUACGGGACGCUCCAGUGGGGAAUAUUGGGCAAUGGGCGCAAGCCUGACCCAGCAACGCCGCGUGAGGGAAGAAGGUUUUCGGAUUGUAAACCUCUGUCCUUGGGGACGAAGAAGUGACGGUACCCAAGGAGGAAGCUCCGGCUAACUACGUGCCAGCAGCCGCGGUAAUACGUAGGGAGCAAGCGUUGUCCGGAAGUACUGGGCGUAAAGGGUGCGUAGGCGGCAUAUGAAGUCAGGUGUGAAAUACUCGGGCUCAACCCGGGGGCUGCAUUUGAAACUGAUAUGCUUGAGUGUGAGAGAGGAAAGUGGAAUUCCUAGUGUAGCGGUGGAAUGCGUAGAUAUUAGGAGGAACACCAGUGGCGAAGGCGACUUUCUGGCUCAUAACUGACGCUGAGGCACGAAAGCGUGGGGAGCAAACAGGAUUAGAUACCCGCGUAGUC